UUUCGGGUGGGGGGGCCUGCGGAGGGAUCAUUACCGAGUUUACAACUCCCAAACCCAAUGUGAACGUUACCAAACUGUUGCCUCGGCGGGAUCUCUGCCCCGGGUGCGUCGCAGCCCCGGACCAAGGCGCCCGCCGGAGGACCAACCAAAACUCUUUUUGUAUACCCCCUCGCGGGUUUUUUAUAAUCUGAGCCUUCUCGGCGCCUCUCGUAGGCGUUUCGAAAAUGAAUCAAAACUUUCAACAACGGAUCUCUUGGUUCUGGCAUCGAUGAAGAACGCAGCGAAAUGCGAUAAGUAAUGUGAAUUGCAGAAUUCAGUGAAUCAUCGAAUCUUUGAACGCACAUUGCGCCCGCCAGUAUUCUGGCGGGCAUGCCUGUCCGAGCGUCAUUUCAACCCUCGAACCCCUCCGGGGGGUCGGCGUUGGGGAUCGGCCCUCCCUUAGCGGGUGGCCGUCUCCGAAAUACAGUGGCGGUCUCGCCGCAGCCUCUCCUGCGCAGUAGUUUGCACACUCGCAUCGGGAGCGCGGCGCGUCCACAGCCGUUAAACACCCAACUUCUGAAAUGUGACCUCGGAUCAUGCUCGUAUGCCCAGUG
rnacentral:rRNA from 1 species